ensembl:lncRNA
CUGAGUUUGUGUUUUAAAUGUUUGGAUUUUGGACAUGUUUCUCAUCAGCGUUAAAAAUCAUCAGAAGUAGACCCUAAGCCUUAAGGUACUGUCAGUCUAGUUUGGGUGGGGGGGGGAUUAUUACUUCAGACAGCUCGAGUGAGAACUCUCUGGAAUGUCUCUGUCUCAGAAUGUCUUUCCUCAUCACGGGGGUUCCCCUGGUUGAUAAAUGUGUGUGUGUGUGUGUAGAUUCUUUUCUUUUGAGUGUAUGCGAGUGUGUUGAUCGAUCCUUGUAUGUGAGUGUGUUGAGGUUGUGUGAAUGUGAGCGAGUCUGUGGUUGUGUGUGUUUUCUAUCAUGAAGAUAAGCGCCGGUUGUUUGGUCAGAUAAGAAAACUAGGACCAGGCAGACCAGUGGUUCCAAUUCCUUAUCUAUAGAUCUGGAACCAAGUAAAUGGAUCUGCCUCCUCUCCAAAACCCAUUCAUGUUCUCCACAGAUUCCGUCCGUGGUGAAGAGUUCCGUUAAAUGUUAAAGACUUGAGCUGAAAUAUUCCAUUGCAAUGCAAGAGUGUUUUAUUUAUAGUUGUGUAACAUUGUACAUGUUGACCGGAGAGGGUUGCACAAGGGACCUGUGGUGUUCUGACACCAAGCACACCAAAGUCAUGGUUUCAUGCUCAAGAAGGACUUUUUUUGUAUUUUUUUGAAGUGUUGUGGGGUGUGUGUGUGUGUGUGUGUUGUUAAGUGUGGUGGGUGGAGCCUCUGGAGGAAGGCGGAGACUCAUCGAAGGUUUCCCGCUUAAAAAUGUUUUUCCUCUCUUAUAAGCAGCAGUCCAAAGACCAAGCUAGCAUCCGACUGUUCAGUCAGCUGUCCCCUCCUGUUAGAAUGUGGAGUCUGUCCGCGGUCCCGUCCGUUUAGAACGUGGAGACCCGGACCUAUCAUCCUGUUAGAACGUGGAGACCCGGAGCUGUCGUCCUGUUAGAACGUGGAGACCCGGAGCUGUCGUCCUGUUAGAACGUGGGGUUCCGGACCUAUCAUCCUGUUAGAACGUGGAGACCCGGAGCUGUCGUCCUGUUAGAACGUGGGGUUCCGGACCUGUCGCCCACAGCUGAACGUGUAGUAGAUGUUGGCUAACCAAAAACUCCAGACGCUGAAAUGUUACCAUGUUGUUUUAUUCAUGAAUGAUUUUAAAAUCCAAAGGUUAUAAUCUCUCAGGCAUGCCUAACCCUGGGAGGCGCUCUACCUCCUGCAGUGUGACCUUGAGAAGCUGUCUGUCUCUCCCACAGUGUGACCUUGAGAAGCUCUGUCUCUGUCUCUUCUGCAGUGUGACCUUGAGAAGCUGUCUGUCUCUCCGCUAGUGUGACCUUGAGAAGCUCUGUCUCUCUCUCCUACAGUGUGACCUUGUAGUCCGUAUAGCCUUUCAUGUCUUAGAGUUUAACUCUGUCUUGUCAGGGACCCGUUGCCGGUCAUCAUUUACCAUUAAUGACCAGUUUUGUUUUGCAUUGCAGUGUACGCACUUCAAUGUUGCCAUGUUUGUGAAGAUGGUCCAUCUCUAUUUAUGUUUUGAUUAUACACACAAACCCUAUUACAAUAAAAGCAAUGUGAAACAUUUUCAACCUUGU